rnacentral:pre_miRNA from 1 species
ACUUUAACAUGGAAGUGCUUUCUGUGACUUUAAAAGUAAGUGCUUCCAUGUUUUAGUAG